rnacentral:rRNA from 1 species
UACGAAGGGGGCUAGCGUUGUUCGGAAUUACUGGGCGUAAAGCGCGCGCAGGCGGUCCUUCAAGUCAGGGGUGAAAGCCCAGGGCUCAACCCUGGAAUGGCCUUUGAGACUAGAGGACUUGGGUACGGGAGAGGUGAGUGGAAUUCCGAGUGUAGAGGUGAAAUUCGUAGAUAUUCGGAAGAACACCAGUGGCGAAGGCGGCUCACUGGCCCGUUACCGACGCUCAGGCGCGACAGCGUGGGGAGCAAACAGGAGUUAGAA